AUUUCACUGGAGGGUACCAGCGCGUCACAUUCCAUAGCGGCCUGUGAGCAAAUGGGGAUGGCCAGCUCUCCUGGCCAGCUUUUGGACCACAGCACUCCAUCUUCGUCUGUUGGCUAUUCUGAAUCAUCUGGAACCUGCUCUGGUCGUUCAACACCUGCUUCCGCCAAGCUCUCAAGGAGGCCCAGGGACGUCAUAAAACGCCUACAAGCAAAGGUUUCCAGUUACAGAAAGACAAUAUCAAGACUGCGCAAGCAACAGAAGCAAAUGCCUCAAAC